rnacentral:rRNA from 1 species
AGUGAACGCUGGCGGUAGGCCUAACACAUGCAAGUCGAACGGCAGCACAGGAGAGCUUGCUCUCUGGGUGGCGAGUGGCGGACGGGUGAGGAAUACAUCGGAAUCUACUUUUUCGUGGGGGAUAACGUAGGGAAACUUACGCUAAUACCGCAUACGACCUACGGGUGAAAGCAGGGGAUCUUCGGACCUUGCGCGAUUGCAUGAGCCGAUGUCGGAUUAGGUAGUUGGCGGGGUAAAGGCCCACCAAGGCGACGAUCCGUAGCUGGUCUGAGAGGAUGAUCAGCCACACUGGAACUGAGACACGGUCCAGACUCCUACGGGAGGAAGCAGUGGGGAAUAUUGGACAAUGGGCGCAAGCCUGAUCCAGCCAUACCGCGUGGGUGAAGAAGGCCUUCGGGUUGUAAAGCCCUUUUGUUGGGAAAGAAAUCCAGCUGGUUAAUACCCGGUUGGGAUGACGGUACCCAAAGAAUAAGCACCGGCUAACUUCGUGCCAGCCGCCGCCGUAA